rnacentral:rRNA from 1 species
GUGAACCAGCGGAGGGAUCAUUGCUGGAACGCGCCCCGGCGCACCCAGAAACCCUUUGUGAACUUAUACCUACUGUUGCCUCGGCGCAGGCCGGCCUUUUUCAAUAAAGGCCCCCUGGAGACAGGGAGCAGCCCGCCGGCGGCCAACCAAACUCUUGUUUCUACAGUGAAUCUCUGAGUAAAAAACAUAAAUGAAUCAAAACUUUCAACAACGGAUCUCUUGGUUCUGGCAUCGAUGAAGAACGCAGCGAAAUGCGAUAAGUAAUGUGAAUUGCAGAAUUCAGUGAAUCAUCGAAUCUUUGAACGCACAUUGCGCCCUCUGGUAUUCCGGAGGGCAUGCCUGUUCGAGCGUCAUUUCAACCCUCAAGCCUGGCUUGGUGAUGGGGCACUGCUUUUGUCAUGAAGGCAGGCCCUGAAAUCUAGUGGCGAGCUCGCCAGGACCCCGAGCGUAGUAGUUACAUCUCGCUCUGGAAGGCCCUGGCGGUGCCCUGCCGUUAAACCCCCAACUUCUGAAAAUUUGACCUCGGAUCAGGUAGGAAUACCCGCUGAACUUAAGC